ensembl:lncRNA
GAUCUCUCUUUCUCUCUCUUCAUGAGCACACAAGGAGAUUGCAUGGGCACACAGAGAGAUGGUGGCCGCCUACAAACCAGGAGGGAAGGCCUCAGAAUGAAACCUGCCUUGCCACACCUUGAUCCUAGAUUGCUGGCCUCUAGAACAAUGAGAAAUGUUUCUUUCGUUUAAGCUUCCCUGUCGGUGGUAUUUUGUUCUGUCAGCCUGAGUGGACCAGGUAGCCCAAACCCGCAGAGAUGCGGUAAAAGUAUUCAUUUAAGUUUGCCCUUGUGUGGUGAUUGGACUCGUCAGGCAAUCUGAUUUGAACGUUUGAUCCAUCUGGAUUUUAUUUUGGUGUUAAGCGUGAGCCAACUUCUACUUUUCCAAAUGGCCGGCCAGUCGUCCUAACGUCGUUUGAUUGAAAAAAGACUGAAAAACCUUUUCCGGGGUUUGAAGAGACCACUCCACCAGCACGCUUCAAGCUAGCGCGUUUGCCGGGGCCCGCGCGGUCCAAGGACCCCUCGCCGCCAGGUUUCCGCGGCCCAUCUGCCCGGCCAGAUCCAGUCGGAGGAGGCGAAGGGAAGGUGGUGGAGUGGAUAUUCCGCUGCUGAGAACUAUUCCACUCCUACCAGCCGCCGACCGACCACUAACCCCCUUUUCCCACCCUUGCGCUCAGGACAAACCCCAGACACCACUACCGCGACUUCACCUCCACCCUCCGAGGACAAAGCCCCCUGACCCACGUCGAGGAAGUCUCUCUUACCUCCCAUCUCCUCCCUCUCAGCUC